rnacentral:rRNA from 1 species
UACAGAGGAUGCAAGCGUUAUCCGGAAUGAUUGGGCGUAAAGCGUCUGUAGGUGCUUUUUAAGUCCGCCGUCAAAUCCCAGGGCUCAACUCUGGACAGGCGGUGGAAACUACCAAGCUUGAGUACGGUAGGGGCAGAGGGAAUUUCCGGUGGAGCGGUGAAAUGCGCAGAUAUCGGGAAGAACACCCGUGGCGAAGGCGGUUCUCUGGGACGGUACUGACGCUGAGACGCGAAAGCGUGGGGAGCGAACAGG